rnacentral:rRNA from 1 species
GAUGAACGCUAGCGGCAGGCUUAACACAUGCAAGUCGAGGGGCAGCAUAAUGGAUAGCAAUACAGAUUGAUGGCGACCGGCGCACGGGUGAGUAACGCGUAUGCAACUUACCUAUCAGAGGGGGAUAGCCCGGCGAAAGUCGGAUUAAUACCCCAUAAAACAGGGGUCCCGCAUGGGAAUAUUUGUUAAAGAUUCAUCGCUGAUAGAUAGGCAUGCGUUCCAUUAGGCAGUUGGUGGGGUAACGGCCCACCAAACCGACGAUGGAUAGGGGUUCUGAGAGGAAGGUCCCCCACAUUGGUACUGAGACACGGACCAAACUCCUACGGGAGGCAGCAGUGAGGAAUAUUGGUCAAUGGCCGAGAGGCUGAACCAGCCAAGUCGCGUGAAGGAAGAAGGAUCUAUGGUUUGUAAACUUCUUUAUAGGGGAAUAAAGUGGAGGACGUGUCCUUUUUGUAUGUACCCUAUGAAUAAGCAUCGGCUAACUCCGUGCCAGCAGCCGCGG